GGGUUGUGAGGUUAAGCGACUAAGCGUACACGGUGGAUGCCCUGGCAGUCAGAGGCGAUGAAGGGCGUGCUAAUCUGCGAUAAGCGCCGGUAAGGUGAUAUGAACCGUUAUAACCGGCGAUACCCGAAUGGGGAAACCCAGUGUGAUUCGUCACACUAUCAUUAACUGAAUCCAUAGGUUAAUGAGGCGAACCGGGGGAACUGAAACAUCUAAGUACCCCGAGGAAAAGAAAUCAACCGAGAUUCCCCCAGUAGCGGCGAGCGAACGGGGAGGAGCCCAGAGCCUGAAUCAGCAUGUGUGUUAGUGGAAGCGUCUGGAAAGGCGCGCGAUACAGGGUGACAGCCCCGUACACAAAAGCGCAUGUGCUGUGAGCUCGAUGAGUAGGGCGGGACACGUGGUAUCCUGUCUGAAUAUGGGGGGACCAUCCUCCAAGGCUAAAUACUCCUGACUGACCGAUAGUGAACCAGUACCGUGAGGGAAAGGCGAAAAGAACCCCGGCGAGGGGAGUGAAAAAGAACCUGAAACCGUGUACGUACAAGCAGUGGGAGCNNNNNNNNGGGCGUUAAGUUGCAGGGUAUAGACCCGAAACCCGGUGAUCUAGCCAUGGGCAGGUUGAAGGUUGGGUAACACUAACUGGAGGACCGAACCGACUAAUGUUGAAAAAUUAGCGGAUGACCUGUGGCUGGGGGUGAAAGGCCAAUCAAACCGGGAGAUAGCUGGUUCUCCCCGAAAGCUAUUUAGGUAGCGCCUCGUGAAUUCAUCUCCGGGGGUAGAGCACUGUUUCGGCUAGGGGGCCAUCCCGGCUUACCAACCCGAUGCAAACUGCGAAUACCGGAGAAUGUUAUCACGGGAGACACACGGCGGGUGCUAACGUCCGUCGUGAAGAGGGAAACAACCCAGACCGCCAGCUAAGGUCCCAAAGUCAUGGUUAAGUGGGAAACGAUGUGGGAAGGCCCAGACAGCCAGGAUGUUGGCUUAGAAGCAGCCAUCAUUUAAAGAAAGCGUAAUAGCUCACUGGUCGAGUCGGCCUGCGCGGAAGAUGUAACGGGGCUAAACCAUGCACCGAAGCUGCGGCAGCGACACUGUGUGUUGUUGGGUAGGGGAGCGUUCUGUAAGCCUGCGAAGGUGGCCUGUGAGGGUUGCUGGAGGUAUCAGAAGUGCGAAUGCUGACAUAAGUAACGAUAAAGCGGGUGAAAAGCCCGCUCGCCGGAAGACCAAGGGUUCCUGUCCAACGUUAAUCGGGGCAGGGUGAGUCGACCCCUAAGGCGAGGCCGAAAGGCGUAGUCGAUGGGAAACGGGUUAAUAUUCCCGUACUUGGUGUUACUGCGAAGGGGGGACGGAGAAGGCUAUGUUGGCCGGGCGACGGUUGUCCCGGUUUAAGCGUGUAGGUGUGUGUUCCAGGUAAAUCCGGUUCACUUUAACACUGAGGCGUGACGACGAGGCACUACGGUGCUGAAGCAACAAAUGCCCUGCUUCCAGGAAAAGCCUCUAAGCAUCAGGUAACAUCAAAUCGUACCCCAAACCGACACAGGUGGUCAGGUAGAGAAUACCAAGGCGCUUGAGAGAACUCGGGUGAAGGAACUAGGCAAAAUGGUGCCGUAACUUCGGGAGAAGGCACGCUGACACGUAGGUGAAGUGAUUUACUCAUGGAGCUGAAGUCAGUCGAAGAUACCAGCUGGCUGCAACUGUUUAUUAAAAACACAGCACUGUGCAAACACGAAAGUGGACGUAUACGGUGUGACGCCUGCCCGGUGCCGGAAGGUUAAUUGAUGGGGUCAGCGCAAGCGAAGCUCCUGAUCGAAGCCCCGGUAAACGGCGGCCGUAACUAUAACGGUCCUAAGGUAGCGAAAUUCCUUGUCGGGUAAGUUCCGACCUGCACGAAUGGCGUAAUGAUGGCCAGGCUGUCUCCACCCGAGACUCAGUGAAAUUGAACUCGCUGUGAAGAUGCAGUGUACCCGCGGCAAGACGGAAAGACCCCGUGAACCUUUACUAUAGCUUGACACUGAACAUUGAGCCUUGAUGUGUAGGAUAGGUGGGAGGCUUUGAAGUGUGGACGCCAGUCUGCAUGGAGCCGACCUUGAAAUACCACCCUUUAAUGUUUGAUGUUCUAACGUGGACCCGUUACCCGGGUUGCGGACAGUGUCUGGUGGGUAGUUUGACUGGGGCGGUCUCCUCCUAAAGAGUAACGGAGGAGCACGAAGGUUGGCUAAUCCUGGUCGGACAUCAGGAGGUUAGUGCAAUGGCAUAAGCCAGCUUGACUGCGAGCGUGACGGCGCGAGCAGGUGCGAAAGCAGGUCAUAGUGAUCCGGUGGUUCUGAAUGGAAGGGCCAUCGCUCAACGGAUAAAAGGUACUCCGGGGAUAACAGGCUGAUACCGCCCAAGAGUUCAUAUCGACGGCGGUGUUUGGCACCUCGAUGUCGGCUCAUCACAUCCUGGGGCUGAAGUAGGUCCCAAGGGUAUGGCUGUUCGCCAUUUAAAGUGGUACGCGAGCUGGGUUUAGAACGUCGUGAGACAGUUCGGUCCCUAUCUGCCGUGGGCGCUGGAGAACUGAGGGGGGCUGCUCCUAGUACGAGAGGACCGGAGUGGACGCAUCACUGGUGUUCGGGUUGUCAUGCCAAUGGCACUGCCCGGUAGCUAAAUGCGGAAGAGAUAAGUGCUGAAAGCAUCUAAGCACGAAACUUGCCCCGAGAUGAGUUCUCCCUGAGACUUAGAGUCUCCUGAAGGAACGUUGAAGACGACGACGUUGAUAGGCCGGGUGUGUAAGCGCAGCGAUGCGUUGAGCUAACCGGUACUAAUGAACCGUGAGGCUUAACCUUACAACGCCGAAG
rnacentral:rRNA from 1 species